rnacentral:rRNA from 1 species
UACGAAGGGGGCUAGCGUUGUUCGGAAUUACUGGGCGUAAAGCGCACGUAGGCGGGUUUGUAAGUAAGGGGUGAAAACCCCGGGCUCAACUCGGGAACUGCCUUUUAUACUGCAAGCCUGGAGGUCAGGAGAGGCGAGUGGAAUUCCGGGUGUAGCGGUGAAAUGCGUAGAUAUUCGGAGGAACACCAGUUGCGAAGGCGUCUCGCUGGACUGUUACUGACGCUGAGGUGCGAAAGCGUGGGGAGCAAACAGG